rnacentral:rRNA from 1 species
GUUGAACGCUGGCGGCAUGCCUUACACAUGCAAGUCGAACGGCAGCAUGGAAGAGCUUGCUCUUCUGAUGGCGAGUGGCGAACGGGUGAGUAAAGCAUCGGAACGUACCGUGUAAUGGGGGAUAACGUAGCGAAAGUUACGCUAAUACCGCAUACGACCUGAGGGUGAAAGCAGGGGAUCGCAAGACCUUGCGUUAUACGAGCGGCCGAUGUCAGAUUAGCUAGUUGGUAGGGUAAAGGCCUACCAAGGCGACGAUCUGUAGCGGGUCUGAGGGGAUGAUCCGCCACACUGGGACUGAGACACGGCCCAGACUCCUACGGGAGGCAGCAGUGGGGAAUUUUGGACAAUGGGGGAAACCCUGAUCCAGCCAUGCCGCGUGAGUGAAGAAGGCCUUCGGGUUGUAAAGCUCUUUCGGCCGGGAAGAAAUCGCACAGGCUAAUACUCUGUGUGGAUGACGGUACCGGCAUAAGAAGCACCGGCUAACUACGUGCCAGCCGCCGCGGUAA